rnacentral:rRNA from 1 species
GAGUAACACGCUAUCCAACCUGCCGAUAACUCGGGGAUNNCCUUUCGAAAGAAAGAUUAAUAUCCGAUAGUAUAUUAAAACCGCAUGGUUUUACUAUUAAAGAAUUUCGGUUAUCGAUGGGGAUGCGUUCCAUUAGUUUGUUGGCGGGGUAACGGCCCACCAAGACUACGAUGGAUAGGGGUUCUGAGAGGAAGGUCCCCCACAUUGGAACUGAGACACGGUCCAAACUCAUACGGGAGGCAGCAGUGAGGAAUAUUGGUCAAUGGACGAGAGUCUGAACCAGCCAAGUAGCGUGAAGGAUGACUGCCCUAUGGGUUGUAAACUUCUUUUAUAUGGGAAUAAAGUAUUCCACGUGUGGGAUUUUUGUAUGUACCAUUAUGAAUAAGGAUCGGCUAACUCCGUGCCAGCAGCCGCGGUAAUACGGAGGAUCCGAGCGUUAUCCGGAUUUAUUGGGUUUAAAGGGAGCGUAGGUGGAUUGUUAAGUCAGUUGUGAAAGUUUGCGGCUCAACCGUAAAAUUGCAGUUGAAACUGGCAGUCUUGAGUACAGUAGAGGUGGGCGGAAUUCGUGGUGUAGCGGUGAAAUGCUUAGAUAUCACGAAGAACUCCGAUUGCGAAGGCAGCUCACUAGACUGCAACUGACACUGAUGCUCGAAAGUGUGGGUAUCAAACAGGAUUAGAUACCCUGGUAGUCCACACAGUAAACGAUGAAUACUCGCUGUUUGCGAUAUACAGUAAGCGGCCAAGCGAAAGCAUUAAGUAUUCCACCUGGGGAGUACGCCGGCAACGGUGAAACUCAAAGGAAUUGACGGGGGCCCGCACAAGCGGAGGAACAUGUGGUUUAAUUCGAUGAUACGCGAGGAACCUUACCCGGGCUUAAAUUGCAUUUGAAUAAUCUGGAAACAGGUUAGCCGCAAAGGCAAAUGUGAAGGGGCUGCAUGGUUGUCGUCAGCUCGUGCCGUGAGGUGUCGGCUUAAGUGCCAUAACGAGCGCAACCCUUAUCUUUAGUUACUAACAGGUCAUGCUGAGGACUCUAGAGAGACUGCCGUCGUAAGAUGUGAGGAAGGUGGGGAUGACGUCAAAUCAGCACGGCCCUUACGUCCGGGGCUACACACGUGUUACAAUGGGGGGUACAGAAGGCAGCUACCUGGCGACAGGAUGCUAAUCCCAAAAACCUCUCUCAGUUCGGAUCGAAGUCUGCAACCCGACUUCGUGAAGCUGGAUUCGCUAGUAAUCGCGCAUCANACCAUGGCGCGGUGAAUACGUUCCCGGGCCUUGUACCCNNNAACCGUCAAGCCAUGAAAGCCGGGGGUACCUGAAGUACGUACCGCAAGGAGCUCCUAGG